AGAAGGACCACAGCGACCCGCCAUUGUACUCGGUCACCUACUACAGCGACCACUCGUGCAACAACGCCUUCCUCCCGCUCUCCCCCUCCGAGUUCCAGCUGCGGACAUCGUCCGGGAAGGCCGUCUCCAUCUGCUUCGACUCCUCGUCCGGGGCACCGGCGCAAUAGCCGACGGCCGUGGCGUCCAUCGCCACCAAUGCUAGCGGCGGCUCGCCCUCUUCCAGCGCCGUGGCGGCGCGGCGAGGCACGCCGCCGGAUAUCAGUUACCCGCCCGACCUGCGGCGGUCUGACAUGUACCCGUGGGGCGCCGAUGCCGUGGACCAGAAGCUGGCGUCCUGCGCCACCGAGUGCCACGACGCCUUCUCGGCCGGCGCCGUGCCAGAGGAGGUGGUAGAUGUAGGCAGAUUUGGGUCUGUCAGGUUCUUCCAUUUUUUGUAAAUUCAUCGGUGGAAGGCAACUGAUUUUACUUCGACAAACUAAUAUGAUACAAAUGUUUCUUUUUUUACAUGUCGAAGCUUACUAGAGAUUCGCAUGC